rnacentral:rRNA from 13 species
GCUAACGUCCAUACCGCGUUGAAUGUACUCGUUCUCGUCCGAUCACGAAAGUUUAAGCAGCGCUGGGCACGGAUAGUACUUGGACGUGUGACCGCUUGGGAACUCCGUGUGGUGUUAGCA